UCAUCAAAUAUCGGUAUUGUUGCACGCUAACAGUAUCCAUUUGCAGUCCAUCUACUUCUCCCGAGCCCGAGCGCGAAGAGGUUGGAACGGAUCCAUCAACUUCUGCGACAGGAGCGGAUCCAUUUGCUUCUACGACAAAAGCGGUAACCAUCACCGUGGCGGGCACCACGCCACCAGCUGGUGUGACCCCGCCGCCAGCGACGGGUACCGUGGUUGAGACGCCACGGGCUAUGAGGGUGAAGAAAGCUGUCAUGAAGAAGUCUUCACUGUCUGUGACUGCCAGGGGGUUUAAACCAAAGCCUGUGUCGGCUACUCCAGCCCCUGAGCCGCCAGCCCCAGAAGGGCCCGCGCCCAAGGGACCAGCCCCCGAGACGGACACGCACUGCCCGACCUGCCACCUCCCGAGCCCCAGCAAGCUGAAGCUAGAGCUGGUGGUGAGGAACAUGUCGAGGCCCCUGCAGCCACUCCUGCAGGUGGCACAGGCGGCCAGCAACCACCUUCUGAAAGAAACGUAGGGACCUCAAGGAGGCCUGGAGACCUGCUGAUAGCCGGACGCGGAUACCAGAACGUCAUCACCACAGAUCUGGUGGAUGAUCCAAUGCUGUUGGACGACAACAUAAAAACCUUCAAGAAGGCCUACAAAGAGUUGUACGAUUCUGCCCUGAAUGUGAUCAGGCACUCGUAAAAGAAGACCAAAAAACUAAAAGUAGUCGUGAGUGGCCACCAGGAGCUUGCCACCAAGGAAAAACACAUAUCCCAAGAGCAGACGAAGAACUGCUAUCUUCAGAGAGAACUUGACCAGCUGAAGCAAGAGCGGACUUGAGAGACGUGGCUCCUUAAGAACGAUCUGCGCAAUCUUGAGGAACAGGUCAAGGAACAAAAGAAGGCGCACCAAGGCAAGCCCUUACUUCCCUCGAGUACUUCCACUUAACAAUUUAUCUUGGA